UACGGGGGGGGCAAGCGUUGUUCGGAAUUACUGGGCGUAAAGGGCUCGUAGGCGGCCAACUAAGUCAGACGUGAAAAUCCCUCGGCUUAACCGGGGGAACUGCGUCUGAUACUGGAUGGCUUGAGGUUGGGAGAGGGAUGCGGAAUUCCAGGUGUAGCGGUGAAAAUGCGUAGAUAUCUGGAGGAACACCGGUGGCGAAGGCGGCAUCCUGGACCAAUUCUGACGCUGAGGAGCGAAAAGCCAGGGGGAGCAAAACGGGG
rnacentral:rRNA from 1 species